ensembl:lncRNA
CGGGGCCACUCAAGUGGAGAGUCAGGAGCUGGCGAGCCAACGCCUCCUCGUCCUCGUCCUCGUCCUCCCUCUGUGCAGUGAUCUUGAGGCUGUGUGCUGCAGGUGAAGGACAAGAGGGCCACUAGUAGAGUGUGACACGAGUAAGCCAACGGCGAAAGGCAUUCUGAGGAGCCCUGAGGAGCCUCACUCCCUGCCGGGCAGCAGAGGACAGACACCUUCACCUGGCCAAGGGACGCUGUGGUCAGCUUUCCUCCCCCCAGGCCCUUCCACCAUGCCCCUCCUGCCUUGGAGCCCGCUGACUAUAAACUAAAAAGGUGAGCCAAAGUAAACCUCUCCUCCUAAGAUGCGAGUAUUGGGCAUUUUGCUGCACCGACAGGCAAGUGACUGAGGCAGGUCCUCGGCAACUUCCUUCCUGGCUCUUUCUUUUCCUUCUCAAGGGCCCCCUUCUGAGACCAGUGUGAUGUGCAGGGCCAAGGCGGACAGGCAGCCCUUAGUUGUGCCACCUUGUGGCCACCUGUCCACACUGCAGCUGUCAGUGUGUGUUUGUAGGAAGGCACUGCAUCACCCGGGCUUAUCCACAGGAGGUUGGGCACAGCAGUGGGGAUGAGGGGCUUGCUCAGACUCACACAGCUUUAAGUUGGACCUGGGCCGCCUGGACCUGCAUUGUCACACCUCGGCUGCCUUCAGGUCUCCAGAGACAGGCGCCUCCAGUGUGCUCAGCGAAUUGCUUUCGGCUGAGUGCAGAGGCGGCAGAAGCAGGAAGCCUGGACCCCGGCACUGCCCUCCACUGCUUGCCAGCCCUGCAGGGCCGUGGGCACAAUCAAGAUUAUGCCAGGAGGUGGUGUGCAAACUGCAGCGUGCCUCACAAACGGGAAGGCACCUUCAACAUUUACAGCAAUUGUAAAUUACAGAGUCCCAGGACUGAGUUUCUAGAGGUCUGUGCGAUUUCAAACCAGACUGGUGUCCGUGUGUCGUCUCUGCGCAUGACACACAGGUGCGACCUGGGCUUAUGUUAGGCGCUGGCCGAUCAAGUGCUCAGAGCCGCUGGCCUGUGUCUGCCAGGCCUCAGAGACC